GGAAGGUGAAAAUAAUGAGUAAAUGAUGAUGGAAGGUGAAAAUAAUGAGUAAAUGAUGAUGGAAGGUGAAAAUAAUGAGUAAAUGAUGAUGGAAGGUGAAAAUAAUGAGUAAAUGAUGAUGGAAGGUGAAAAUAAUGAGUAAAUGAUAAUGGAAGGUGAAAAUAAUGAGUAAAUAAUGAUGGAAGGUAAAAAUAAUGAGUAAAUGAUGAUGGAAGGUGGAAAUAAUGAGUAAAUGAUGAUGGAAGGUAAAAAUAAUGAGUAAAUGAUGAUGGAAGGUGGAAAUAAUGAGUAAAUGAUGAUGGAAGGUAAAAAUAAUGAGUAAAUGAUGAUGGAAGGUAAAAAUAAUGAGUAAAUGAUGAUGGAAGGUGAAAAUAAUGAGUAAAUGAUGAUGGAAGGUAAAAAUAAUGAGUAAAUGAUGAUGGAAGGUGAAAAUAAUGAGUAAAUGAUGAUGGAAGGUGAAAAUAAUGAGUAAAUGAUGAUGGAAGGUGAAAAUAAUGAGUAAAUGAUGAUGGAAGGUGAAAAUAAUGAGUAAAUGAUGAUGGAAGGUGAAAAUAAUGAGUAAAUGAUGAUGGAAGGUGAAAAUAAUGAGUAAAUGAUGAUGGAAGGUGAAAAUAAUGAGUAAAUGAUGAUGGAAGGUGAAAAUAAUGAGUAAAUGAUGAUGGAAGGUGAAAAUAAUGAGUAAAUGAUGAUGGAAGGUGAAAAUAAUGAGUAAAUGAUGAUGGAAGGUAAAAAUAUAAUUAGGAAAUGAUGAUGAUAGAUAAAAAGAUGUGAACGAAUGAUAGACGAGGUAAAUAAAAAAUGCUUGAGUGAUGGAAAAAGUUAAGAAAAGGAAUAAAUGAUAAAAGAAAGGAUUAUAAAUUGAUGAUGGAAAGUAAAAAUAUGCAAAUGAAAGAUAUACGUGUUAAAAAGAUUGACUAGGUGAUGUAAAAGGUGAGAAACUAAUGAUGAUAUUGAUGAUGAAAGGUUAGAAAAUGUGAGGGAAUGAUGAAGGUGAAAAAAAAUGAAGUUAUUGAAAAGGUAAAAAGUGAAUAAAUGAUAAAUAAAAGGUUAAAAAUGUGUGAAUGAAUGAUAGAAUGGAGAAAAAAUUAAAAAGGAUAAAGAAUAAUUGAGUAUACGUAUUUUAAAAGUAUAAGAUAACUGAAUAAAUGAUUAGUAGGUUGAAAAGGAUGAAUAAGUGAGAAAAUAAGGUAUAAACAUGAUGAAAAAAAAUAAAUGAUGAAAAAGUGAAAAAUGUGAAUCCAAAAAAAUACUGAAGGUAAAAAAAUAAUUGAAUAUGAAUGACAAAGUAAAUGAUAGGAAAAUUAUAUGUGCCAUUCUCUUAAUUUUCUCCCUUCUUCUAUAUGGGUUCCUCUCUUUAUCAUCAAAUCUCCUCCUCUCCUGUCUUCUACGUGUGAUCCCCUCUUUAUCCUCCUCCUCUUUACACUCCUUUAUUUGUUCAUCUCUUCUUGUAUCAUCUUCCUUCUUCCUCUCCCUUUCUCUCUAUAUAUACUCUUUAACAAUCUCCCUUCCUCCUUUCCCCUCUCCUCAUAAUUAUCAUCUUCCCCUCUUUAUCAUCUGCCCUCUUCUUUACACUCCUUUAUUUGUCCAUCUUUUCUUCUACCAUCUUCCUUCUUCCUCUCUCUUUCUCUCUCUAUAUAUACUCUUUAACAAUCUCCCUUCCUCCUUUCCCCUCUCCUCAUAAUUAUCAUCUUCCCCUCUUUAUCAUCUGCCCUCCUCUUUACACUCCUUUGUUUCUUCAUCUCUUCUUGCACCAUCUUCUUCCUCUCUCUUUCUCUCUCUAUAUAUACUCCUUAACAAUCUCCCU